GGGUAAGUUCCGACCCGCACGAAAGGUGUAACAACUAGAACAGUGUCUCAACAAAGGACCCGGCGAAAUUGAAAUAGCCGUG
rnacentral:rRNA from 1 species